rnacentral:rRNA from 1 species
UUCCUACGGGACGCAGCAGUGGGGAAUAUUGCACAAUGGGGGAAACCCUGAUGCAGCGACGCCGCGUGGGCGAAGAAGUAUUUCGGUAUGUAAAGCCCUAUCAGCAGGGAAGAAGAAAUGACGGUACCUGACUAAGAAGCCCCGGCUAACUACGUGCCAGCAGCCGCGGUAAUACGUAGGGGGCAAGCGUUAUCCGGAUUUACUGGGUGUAAAGGGAGCGUAGACGGAAUUGCAAGUCUGAUGUGAAAAUCCGGGGCCCAACCCCGGAACUGCAUUGGAAACUGUAUUUCUAGAGUGUCGGCAAG